GAUGAACGCUGGCGGCGUGCCUAAUACAUGCAAGUCGAGCGAACGGACGAGAAGCUUGCUUCUCUGAUGUUAGCGGCGGACGGGUGAGUAACACGUGGAUACCCUACCUAUAAGACUGGGAUAACUUCGGGAAACCGGAGCUAAUACCGUAUAAUAUUUUGAACCGCAUGGUUCAAAAGUGAAAUACGGCCUUGCUGUCACUUAUAGAUGGAUCCGGGCUGCAUUAGCUAGUUGGUAAGGUAACGGCUUACCAAGGCAACGAUGCAUAGCCGACCUGAGAGGGUGAUCGGCCACACGGGAACUGAGACGCGGUCCAGACUCCUAAGGGAGGCAGCAGUAGGGAAUCGUCCGCAAUGGGCGAAAGCCUGACGGAGCAACGCCGCGUGAGUGAUGAAGGUCUUCGGAUCGUAAAACUCUGUUAUUAGGGAAGAACAUAUGUGUAAGUAACUGUGCACAUCUUGACGGUACCUAAUCAGAAAGCCACGGCUAACUACGUG
rnacentral:rRNA from 1 species